UUACGGCCAUAUCACGUUGACACACCGGUUCUCGUACUAUCACCGGAGUUAAGCAACGUCGAGCCUGGUCAGUACCUAGAUGAGUGACCGUUUGAAUACCAGGUGCUGUAAG